UACGGAGGGGGCUAGCGUUGUUCGGAAUUACUGGGCGUAAAGCGCACGUAGGCGGCGACUCAAGUCAGAGGUGAAAGCCCGGGGCUCAACCCCGGAACUGCCUUUGAAACUAGGUUGUCUAGAAUCUUGGAGAGGUCAGUGGAAUUCCGAGUGUAGAGGUGAAAUUCGUAGAUAUUCGGAAGAACACCAGUGGCGAAGGCGACUGACUGGACAAGUAUUGACGCUGAGGUGCGAAAGCGUGGGGAGCAAACAGGG
rnacentral:rRNA from 1 species